rnacentral:rRNA from 1 species
GAUGAACCUGGCGGCUUGCGUAACACAUGCAAGUUGGACGACGGUGCCAUGAAGUGGUAACGCGGAGUGGUAUACGGGUAGCGACGGUGAGUACAACAUGAGAAGCUGUCUUCAGAGGGGGGCAACGUCUGGAAGCGGACGCUAAUACCCCAUAGGCCGGAGUUAAGCAGAGAUCGCUGGAGGAGGUGCUCGUCCCUACAGCUAGUUGGUAGGUAACGGCCACCAAGGCGACGACGGUAGCCGGCCUGAGAGGGUGAACGGCCACACUGGAACUGAGAUACGGUCCAGACUCCUACGGGAGGCAGCAGUGGGGAAUAUUGGGCAAUGGGAGGAUCUGACCCAGCGACCCGCGUGAACGAUGAAGGCCUUAGGGUUGUAAAGUUCUUUAUGUGGGAAGAAGGAAGUGAUCGGUACCACAUGAAUACGCCCCGGCU